rnacentral:rRNA from 1 species
CAGUAGCCACGGUAAUACAGAGGGUGCGAGCGUUAAUCGGAUUUACUGGGCGUAAAGCGUGCGUAGGCGGCUUUUUAAGUCGGAUGUGAAAUCCCUGAGCUUAACUUAGGAAUUGCAUUCGAUACUGGGAAGCUAGAGUAUGGGAGAGGAUGGUAGAAUUCCAGGUGUAGCGGUGAAAUGCGUAGAGAUCUGGAGGAAUACCGAUGGCGAAGGCAGCCAUCUGGCCUAAUACUGACGCUGAGGUACGAAAGCAUGGGGAGCAAACAGGAUUAGAGACCCGAGUAGUCCCUGUCUCUUAUAC